rnacentral:rRNA from 1 species
AUUGAACGCUGGCGGCAUGCUUUACACAUGCAAGUCGGACGAGUGGCGAACGGGUGAGUAAUAUAGUGGAACGUACCGAGGAAGGGGGGAUAACCAAGCGAAAGAUUGGCUAAUACCACAAAUUAUUCGAGCGGCCAAUAUCUGAUUAGCGAGUGGGUGGGGUAAAGGCGUACCAAGGCGACGAUCAGUAGCGUGUCUGAGAGGAUGAUCUGCCACACUGGGACUGAGACACGGCCCAGACUCCUACGGGAGGCAGCAGUGGGGAAUUUUGCACAAUGGGCGCAAGCCUGAUCCAGCCAUGCCGCGUGUCUGAAGAAGGCCUUCGGGUUGUAAAGGACUUUUGUUCGGGAAGCGGUACCUAAAGAAUAAGCACCGGCUAACUACGUGCCAGCAGCCGCGGUAAUAC